UUGAACCGGUAACAAAAAUAAAAAAAGCCCACCUCACCGCUUCCACGAUCCCCUCCGCCUGAUCCUCGCAUCUAUCGUCCCUCCCAACCGGAUCACGCCGCCACUGCCACCAACCUCCAUUGAUCGCGCCGCCACCGCCGCCUACCUUCCUGGAUCGGGCCGCCUCCGCCGCCUACCUUCCCGACUUGCGCCGCCUCCGCCGCCUACCUUCCCGGAUCGCGUCGCCACCACUGCUUGCUUCUCCGGAUCCACUCGCCGACGAUAUAGAUGACGCCCAACCACGAGCCAUGUUCCUUCCCGGAUCCAUUCUCGCUGGAUGACACAACCGGAGCCAUCGCCGUGCCGCCGCCUGGUCUCCUCAGCCAUGGAAUGUAGGCCUCCCGCGAGGUGCCCGUGCCGCCAACUCACGGCGGCGUCUCCAGCUCUUCGCCUCCUCCGUCUCCGCAGCCGCCGCACAUCCUCAUCCCCGGUUGGGCUCCACCACCGCGGUGCCUAGGCCAUUCAAUGACGCAACCCCGGAAGGCCAGUGAAAGACAGGGGAACCGGUGCACUGUCAAGCUAGCAAACAUGUGCAGCUGACGGUUUGGUGGGCGCGGCAGACAAAUUUCUUGGCAUGUGACUACUGGUUUGGCGGGCAGGCAAGAACCAACAAGCACAUCAGCUGCAGGCAAAGCUGCUAGCAGAAAAGAACUAAACCUUCAAGUUUAUCCAAAUUUCCGUCGAAUCUAUUCCCCAUGGACAGACUCUAGACAUCUCUAUUUUCGGCUAGUGCAUGCGACCCAGCUGCUUCUACUUCCUUUCUUCCUGCCGCUCAAUGUUGAUGUCGGUCGCUGCUAGCUGCUGUUCUCAGACAUUUCUAGUUCUUGUUGUGCCGUAUGGCUGCCCGACGCCACUGCCAUUUUCUGGUUGCUAUUGGUAUGCCGUUGCUGCAGUUCAACAUGACAAAAGAUAUACUUCUAUUAGAGAUUAGCA